UACGUAGGGGGCAAGCGUUGUCCGGAUUUAUUGGGCGUAAAGCGCGUGUAGGCGGCCAGACAGGUCCGUUGUGAAAACUCGAGGCUCAACCUCGAGACGCCGAUGGAAACCGUCUGGCUAGAGUCCGGAAGAGGAGAGUGGAAUUCCUGGUGUAGCGGUGAAAUGCGCAGAUAUCAGGAAGAACACCCGUGGCUAAGGCGGCUCUCUAGUACGGUACUGACGCUGAGACGCGAAAGCGUGGGGAGCGAACAGG
rnacentral:rRNA from 1 species